AACUAGGCAGCCGCGGUAAUACGUAGGGUGCAAGCGUUAUCCGGAAUUAUUGGGCGUAAAGAGCUCGUAGGCGGUUUGUCGCGUCUGCUGUGAAAUCCCGAGGCUCAACCUCGGGCCUGCAGUGGGUACGGGCAGACUAGAGUGCGGUAGGGGGAGAUUGGAAUUCCUGGUGUAGCGGUGGAAUGCGCAGAUAUCAGGAGGAACACCGAUGGCGAAGGCAGAUCUCUGGGCCGUAACUGACGCUGAGGAGCGAAAGGGUGGGGAGCAAACAGGCUUAGAUACCCUGGUAGUCCACCCCGUAAACGUUGGGAACUAGUUGUGGGGUCCUUUCCACGGAUUCCGUGACGCAGCUAACGCAUUAAGUUCCCCGCCUGGGGAGUACGGCCGCAAGGCUAAAACUCAAAGGAAUUGACGGGGAACCGCACAAGCGGCGGAGCAUGCGGAUUAAUUCGAUGCCACGCGAAGAACCUUACCAAGGCUUGACAUACACCA
rnacentral:rRNA from 1 species